rnacentral:lncRNA from 13 species
GGCUGCGGGCGGAGCGGGGGCUGCGGGCUCCGAGAGGGUCCCGCAGGCCAGAGGGAAAUGCUGUUUGUUUUUUCUGACACCUCUGCCCAGAGCCAUUACCUCUGCCAGACUUUCUAGAGAGUCCUGGGGCAGCAGGAACUUUCUUUGCUCCUUCACCACAAGGAAACCCUUUUUAGGAACACAAAGGUGCCAGUGCCUCAUCCCAGAUGGCUGGACACACUCUCUUCUCUUUGCAACUUUCAGCCAUGAGCUUGUGACAUAUCAUAGGAGAAGCAUCAAUGGCAGCUUCCUGUUGCCCCAGCGGACGGUCUCACACCUGCUUCCGCUGGCCCCCACCCUCCGGUCUGAUUCUGGAGAAGAAAGAACAGGUGGUGGUACUCUUUCCAGACUGCUGAGCCAGGAACAAGCUUCAGCAUCUGGGCACGUGGUCACAGGGCACAGGCUGUGUCAGACCUGCCGGGGCCCAGUAGCCCAGGAACUGCAGCCUUCCUCUGAGGUGAAGAGCCUAACCAGACACAUGACACACUGAGCAGUGGCCCGAGGUGAAAGCCCUCUGCAAAACAGAACUUGCUUUCCGUACCAACUGGUCAAAAGGAAGGAGUAAAGUAUUAUAUAGUAUAUUGGAAUUAAAUGAGAACUUUUUGCAAAAUACCUGGAUAUCCAUGUGUAUGUGGAAUAUAUGAUGAAUACAUAGUUCUAAACACUGUGUGUGUGUCAGGCCCUCACACAAGGAUAUGAUUUGCUCCUGGGUGUUGCAUCAUUAAUUCUGUUCCACAGAGAAGGAAACUGAGAUUCAGAGUAGAGCAUGGCUCAGCCAAGGCCCCACAGCUGGUCAUCGGGGGGCGCCUGACCCUCUGUUUGGGUCAUAGAGACUGCCUGUCCCCACUUGACUCAUCCCCGUCAGCAAAGUGUGUAAAAUCCUUUGGGAACAGCAGCUCUG